UACGUAGGUGGCAAGCGUUGUCCGGAGUUACUGGGCGUAAAGCGCACGCAGGCGGUCUUUUAAGUUUGGAGUGACAGUUGGUGGCUUAACUGCCAAAGUGCUUCGAAAACUGACAGACUUGAGGGCUUCAGAGGGACACGGAAUUCCGGGUGGAGUGGUGAAAUGCGUAGAGAUCCGGAGGAACACCAAAGGCGAAGGCAGUGUCCUGGGGAGUACCUGACGCUCAGAUGCGAAAGCCAGGGGAGCGAACGGG
rnacentral:rRNA from 1 species